UCCCUGGUAGUCUAGCGGCUAAGGAUCCGGCGCUCUCAUCGCUUAAGCCCGGGAUUGAUUCCCGAGCAGGGAA